rnacentral:tRNA from 1 species
AAAUAAAAAGUAAAAAUUUACAUAUUAAUUUCGACUUAAUAAUAAGAUUAAAAAAAAUCUUUAUUUU